GUGCUUACUUUGGUAGCACAUAUACUAAAAUUAGAACAGUUUCAGCAUUAGCAUGGUGCCUGCACAAGAAUGACAUGCAAAUUGUGAAGUGUUCCCUAUUUUU
ensembl:snRNA U6 U6 spliceosomal RNA